GGUGCGUAGUGCGGGCCUCCUGCGCGCCCCCAACACCCGCAGGGGCGCUGGAGCAGGGCGCAUGCGGUGGGAAAGAGGGUCCCCCAAGGGCUGGCAAAUCACGGUAGAACCUGUGUGACGGCCCCCUCUCCACAGACUAAACCUGUAUGGCAGUGAAACCAGGGGCCCGUCUUCAGUUUCGCAGUUUCAGGAAUUUGAUUUUAUCAUUUUGUUCAGAAACUUUCAGAUCUAGGAAUUGCAGCGAAAUUCGAAGAGACCGACGGAAUGGUUCCAGAAUAUAAGUCCGCUGGCAGGAACUUUGGCAUUUAUUCUGAGGAACCAGGAAGCCACUCCAAUAGUUGAACAGAAGAAUACCAUUUUCGCCUUGUGUUUAAACAGGACCACCUGACAUGGCUAAUAUUCAUCUGAAGCCUGAGUGACUCCAAAAAGAUGACACUCUUCUGUCCACCAAAACCUUCCAGAGGCUUCCUGUGCUCACUUGAAGUAAAAUCCGAAGUGCUGACUGUGAUGACCGGCUCCCCUAGCAGGCCUGCUGCGGGACAGCUUCUCCACCAGCCUCCUGUUCAAGGCCUCUACUUCUGCCACUGUGGCCUCUGCAUUGUUCCUGAGCAUCCCAAGCACAUUCCCACUUCAAGGCCUUGGUGCUUGCCAUUUGUCUGCUUCUCUCCUGGUCUAUGCCUGGCUGGUUCUUGUUUCUUUUGAACUCUGACCAGGUGCACCUCAUGAGAGAGGCCUUCCUUGACCUCCGUCCUCCAUUCCUGUCACUAGCCCCAUCUGACAGGGUUGCCCUCCCCCUCCCCUGCCCCCAUCCCUGUGUAAACCCCAUGAGAGAAUGGCCUCUGUCCUUAGGCAGAUGUGUCUCCCCAGAACCCAGGACAGGACAGUCACACGGGAGGCAACCAACACACUUUUCUUAAAUGAUGGAAUAAAGUACUGACUGGGUUUCAA